rnacentral:rRNA from 1 species
GACGAACGCUGGCGGCGUGCCUAAUACAUGCAAGUAGAACGCUGAAGAGAGGAGCUUGCUCUUCUGGAUGAGUUGCGAACGGGUGAGUAACGCGUAGGUAACCUGCCUUGUAGCGGGGGAUAACUAUUGGAAACGAUAGCUAAUACCGCAUAACAAUGGAUGACACACAGUCAUUUAUUUGAAAGGGGCAAUUGCUCCACUACAAGAUGGACCUGCGUUGUAUUAGCUAGUAGGUGAGGUAACGGCUCACCUAGGCGACGAUACAUAGCCGACCUGAGAGGGUGAUCGGCCACACUGGGACUGAGACACGGCCCAGACUCCUACGGGAGGCAGCAGUAGGGAAUCUUCGGCAAUGGGGGCAACCCUGACCGAGCAACGCCGCGUGAGUGAAGAAGGUUUUCGGAUCGUAAAGCUCUGUUGUAAGUCAAGAACGAGUGUGAGAGUGGAAAAUUCACACUGUGACGGUAGCUUACCAGAAAGGGACGGCUAACUACGUGCCAGCAGCCGCGGUAAUACGUAGGUCCCGAGCGUUGUCCGGAUUUAUUGGGCGUAAAGCGAGCGCAGGCGGUUUGAUAAGUCUGAAGUUAAAGGCUGUGGCUCAACCAUAGUUCGCUUUGGAAACUGUCAAACUUGAGUGCAGAAGGGGAGAGUGGAAUUCCAUGUGUAGCGGUGAAAUGCGUAGAUAUAUGGAGGAACACCGGUGGCGAAAGCGGCUCUCUGGUCUGUAACUGACGCUGAGGCUCGAAAGCGUGGGGAGCGAACAGG